rnacentral:rRNA from 1 species
AACGAACGCUGGCGGCAUGCCUAACACAUGCAAGUCGAACGAGACCUUCGGGUCUAGUGGCGCACGGGUGCGUAACGCGUGGGAACCUGCCCUUAGGUUCGGAAUAACUCCCCGAAAGGGGUGCUAAUACCGGAUAAUGUCUUCGGACCAAAGAUUUAUCGCCUUUGGAUGGGCCCGCGUUGGCUUAGCUAGUUGGUAGGGUAAAAGCCUACCAAGGCGACGAUCCAUAGCUGGUCUGAGAGGAUGAUCAGCCACACUGGGACUGGGACACGGCCCAGACUCCUACGGGAGGCAGCAGUGGGGAAUAUUGGACUAUGGGCGGAAGCCUGAUCCAGCAAUGCCGCGUGAGUGAUGAAGGCCUUAGGGUUGUAAAGCUCUUUUACCCGGGAUGAUAAUGACAGUACCGGGAGAAUAAGCUCCGGCUAACUCCGUG